GACGUAGGGGGCCAGCGUUGCUCGGAAUUACUGGGCGUAAAGGGUUCGUAGGCGGUGCGGCAAGUCGGGAGUGAAAUCUCUGGGCUUAACUCGGGGGCUGCUUCCGAAACUGCCGUGCUUGAGUGCGGGAGAGGCGAGUGGAAUUGCAGGUGUAGCGGUGAAAUGCGUAGAUAUCUGCAGGAACACCCGUGGCGAAGGCGGCUCGCUGGACCGCAACUGACGCUGAGGAACGAAAGCUAGGGGAGCAAACAGG
rnacentral:rRNA from 1 species